rnacentral:lncRNA from 1 species
CAUCUCUUGCAAGUACCCAUCUUAUUUGGCCUCUAGGGAAUGAAGCCUCACAAUGAUAUGAUGUUGGCUCCAUUGCACUUAGUUAAGUCAUUCCCACCAUGCAAGUUCGAGUAGGGGUUAAAGAACAACCUCACAAUGAUAUGAUGUUGAUCAUUCUCGUGGCCUACCUUCACAACAUCAUGUAUGCAUAUAGAACUCCUUCUGAGUGUAAGCACGCACUUUGUACUCCCCAUGAUAGGGUGAAGUCGGUGUACGGGUCACAAACGAUCGGAGCCUACCACGGUGGAAGGCCACGAAAGAGUGUUCAAAGUACUCUCACGCUUAUGAACUUAAUAAUGGUUUGGUUGAGGGUUUUAGGUCUCAUCACAUAUAAGCAUGCAUUUUAAUCUUAUUAAAACAAUUUGGUCAUAUUACAACUAUUGGUCCAUGUGAUUGAUUUAGUUGUAUAUGAUACUCCCACUAUGCUUGUAAAACGGUUUGUAAAGCAAGAGUAUAUGGUACUACUAACAUAAGGUUUGCAUUCAUUGAUGGACUAUAUAGUUGCCUUAGGGCCUUAGGAUGACUAUGAACCUUUGAUUUGAUCCAACAUGAGCCUAGUGUUGAAUCUCGAUCUAGGGAUGGUGAUUGAUUUUAGUUACGCAUUUAAUCACAUUAAGGCGUGUUUUCUUAUUGGGCGUUAGACCCUCUACUUCAUUUUCAUGCGUAUCAAAUAAAGCAAGAAAGAAGUACUUCAAAGUAAAGAAGAGCUUAUGCUCUUUUACAACAUUUGAUCAAAACAAAUUACUUUAAAGUAAAGAAGAGCUUAUGCUCUUUUACAAUAUUUGAUCAUAUCAAAUUACAACCAAAAUCUAAUCUACACAUUCCCAUGGUUCAAACAAAUUUGAGACGGCCUUUCACGUAGCUCAAUUAUCGUAGGCUUAGGUUCAUAAUCACCCUUUCUUUAAUUAAUUAACGCUUUAACUAAUUAAACUUGAAUGCAACAUUUUCAUUUGGUUUUUGUAUCCAUAGAAUUGAUUUAAAUGAAGCUAAAUGAAAUGAAAAUCCAAUUCUCUUUUACAGAUACAAAACUAUUUUGUUCUCAACUAAUUUGGGCCAAAAAACAGUAACCUCAACCAUUGGGCUAUAUUGCAAAACACAAACUUUUGAGGUCACUUUGUAAAACACAAAAGUCCACUAUUUCAUGUAAUUACAACUAGAACCCAAAAAUUUCAUCAAAUACAAAAACUUCAUUAAAGGAGCAAAACAUUUUGUGCUUUAGUGAUUUUGGGCCUUUACGUAAAAAUGUAAACUUUCGGGUCAAAGUACAAAUACACAAAAGUAUCAAAACUUUAUGUAAUUGCAUAAAAGCUCCAAAAGUACCCUAUUUAAUAGGGUGGCCAGUUUUGGAUGAGAGAAGGUGUCAUAAAACUUUUGAAUUUUUCAACAAAAGUGAAAGGUGAUGGGUAGGUUUGAAAAAGUGAUUUUCAUAAAACAUGGUUCCUUGAAACAAGGAAAAGGUGUAAGUGAUUGGUAUGGUGUGAAUAGUAGAAAAGGUAUGGGUAUUGAUUGAAAAAUCAAAUCAUCCAUCACUAAAAAAAACUUUAUGUAACAACCAAAAACUUUGAAUCAAAAUACCCAACCUUUUUGUUCUUGCCAAAAACAUAACAAGAACAAUGAAGAACAUCCAUGAAAA